GAGGGUAUAGCUUAAGUGGUAGAGCACAUGCUUAACAUGCAUGAGGUCCUGGGUUCAAUCCCUAGUACCUCCU
rnacentral:tRNA from 1 species